CACUCGGUCGCCUCGUCUCCUCCGCCUUCUCCCCUGCCUCCCCACCCGGGUAGCACACGGCCACAUCACGCUCGUGCCCUCGCCUUGCCGCAUCCUCUAUGCCGCGAUGCCGUCACACCACUUCAACUACUGCCCUUGGUUCUCAAUGCAGCCUCCUGCCGGGCGUCCUGUUCUAUGACGCUGGACAACGGCAGGCCCGCGCGCUCGAGAGGCGUCGGCGUCAUUGCUGGCGGCGACUUCAGCCCUAUCUCUCUCCCCAGCCCUAUCUCUCUUCCCUGACCCUCUCGAUGGUCAGAGGGGUGACGGGGUGGAUCGGGUGGCGGAGAUGGCGGAGCUCGGGCUGGAGCGCUCACGGGAUGGAAGUCUCAUCUCGCACUACCUUGGCACCGCCAUGGGCUGCACCGGUGACCGGCCCCAAGUGCACAUGAACAACGAGGUGUGUUUGGCGUCAUACUUGACCGUGGUGCAGAACAUCUUGUGGUUCUACCCAAGGGUUGACACCGAGCACCGAGGCGAACUGCAGAGGUAGCGUCCCGCGUCCUUUGUCAACGUCCAUAGCAUCAAGGACCUCCUCACGCCCAUGUGCAGAUGGCGCUCGCUCGUGAUCACAGGAAACCGGAUGACGCAUGUGCCCAUUGUCUAUCAUCGACAACAAGGUUGGUUCUAUGUUAAGGCCCUGCAUCCUCAGGUCAGUUUGGAACCUCUGCCUCCCAAAUUCCUACGACAGAAAAGAUGCCCUUUCCAAGUACUACUUCAGCUUUUCUAUUGGAUAGAUAACAAUAAAACCACAACAAAUAUCUAUCAGAAUUGAUUAUAAUCAGGGAUGGAAGUAACUAUGUUUCAGCAGAGAAGCAACUGCCUUCACUCGAGAAUAAUCAGGUAUAGACAAUUGAUACUUCCCACAUGUGCAAGUGUUCUAAUGUACUGUGUGUUAUGCCAUCGGGAAGUAAUAUAUGUUCCUUCCAUCAUUGCUUCCGCAGGGUAGGGCAUUAUGGUCUGGCAUCUCCGUCCUCCCAGGUCACUAAUAAUAGCUAUAGCUGAUGCUAGGUCCAUAAAAAGUUCAUGUUAUUAUGU